rnacentral:rRNA from 1 species
UACGAAGGGGGCUAGCGUUGUUCGGAAUUACUGGGCGUAAAGCGCACGUAGGCGGAUACUUAAGUCAGGGGUGAAAUCCCGGGGCUCAACCCCGGAACUGCCUUUGAUACUGGGUAUCUCGAGUCCGGAAGAGGUGAGUGGAAUUCCGAGUGUAGAGGUGAAAUGCGUAGAUAUCGUUUGGAACGCCAAUGGUGAAAACAACUUGCUGGGGGUGUGCUGACGCUGAGACACGAAAGCCAGGGGAGCAAACGGG